rnacentral:rRNA from 1 species
AACGAACGCUGGCGGCAUGCCUAACACAUGCAAGUCGAACGAAGGCUUCGGCCUUAGUGGCGCACGGGUGCGUAACGCGUGGGAAUCUGCCCUUUGCUUCGGAAUAACAGUUAGAAAUGACUGCUAAUACCGGAUGAUGUCGCAAGACCAAAGAUUUAUCGGCAAAGGAUGAGCCCGCGUAGGAUUAGCUAGUUGGUGGGGUAAAGGCCUACCAAGGCGACGAUCCUUAGCUGGUCUGAGAGGAUGAUCAGCCACACUGGGACUGAGACACGGCCCAGACUCCUACGGGAGGCAGCAGUGGGGAAUAUUGGACAAUGGGCGAAAGCCUGAUCCAGCAAUGCCGCGUGAGUGAUGAAGGCCUUAGGGUUGUAAAGCUCUUUUACCCGGGAGGAUAAUGACAGUACCGGGAGAAUAAGCCCCGGCUAACUCCGUG